AUUGAACGCUGGCGGCAUGCCUUACACAUGCAAGUCGAACGGUAACAGGUCUUCGGAUGCUGACGAGUGGCGAACGGGUGAGUAAUACAUCGGAACGUGCCUAGUAGUGGGGGAUAACUACUCGAAAGAGUGGCUAAUACCGCAUGAGAUCUACGGAUGAAAGCAGGGGAUCGCAAGACCUUGUGCUACUAGAGCGGCCGAUGGCAGAUUAGGUAGUUGGUGGGAUAAAAGCUUACCAAGCCGACGAUCUGUAGCUAGUCUGAGAGGACGAUCAGCCACACUGGGACAUAGACACGGCCCAGACUCCUACGGGAGGCAGCAGUGGGGAAUUUUGGACAAUGGGCGAAAGCCUGAUCCAGCAAUGCCGCGUGCAGGAUGAAGGCCUUCGGGUUGUAAACUGCUUUUGUACGGAACGAAAAGCCCCGGGUUAAUACCCUGGGGUCAUGACGGUACCGUAAGAAUAAGCACCGGCUAACUAUGUGCCAGCCGCCGCGGUAA
rnacentral:rRNA from 1 species